rnacentral:rRNA from 1 species
UACGUAGGGUGCGAGCGUUGUCCGGAAUUAUUGGGCGUAAAGAGCUCGUAGGCGGUUUGUCGCGUCGGCUGUGAAAACUCGGGGCUCAACCCCGAGCCUGCAGUCGAUACGGGCAGACUAGAGUGCUGUAGGGGAGACUGGAAUUCCUGGUGUAGCGGUGAAAUGCGCAGAUAUCAGGAGGACACCGGGUGGCGAAGGCGGGUCUCUGGGCAGUAACUGACGCUGGAGGAGCGAAAGCGUGGGAGCGAACAGG